rnacentral:lncRNA from 1 species
UUUUUCUUUUCUCCUCCUUCCCUCUCUCUCUCCCUUUCCAGGAGAACCACAGUAAGGGAGGACAUGAAACAUCUUUAAUGGAAUUUUGCCUUUGAUCAAGCUGGUAAAAUGGAUGUGAACGUUAUUUUCUCUUUUGAAGGAGAGUCAUCCAAAGAAGGGGUUAACACUGCCAGGAGGAAGCAAGUUCAGCAUUCAGAGCCCGACAGGAGGAUCGCUGAAGUGAAAAGACACUUGGUUUGUUUCGGUUUUCUAGUUAUCUUAAUGUACUUUGAAUUGAUCCCUCAAAAUUGGUAAUUGAAUAGCUUUAAUAGUUACAUUAGUAAUUUAAUGAGCCCCUUCCAGCGCCCAUGGCAUAUAUAUACUUUAGUGAACAAAAAUAGAAGUCAUUUUAUAGGUAAUGCAGUUCUUGAAAGCUAGUAUAUAAUAUUACACGUACACUGAUUGUGAUGCCCUGAAUUAUUUAAUAUGCAAUAAGAGUGAGCUCAGCAUUGUGGAAGUACUCAUUAAGGCAAACGGUACAUCUAAGAACCCCAAUCUCUCUCUCCGCCUCCCUCCCAGUAUCAAGCCUCACUACUUAGCCUGAUUUUCUAUCUCUAAAGAAAUUUCUGGGUAAUUAUGUUACAGAAGAAUAUUGCUCUCAUGGA